UCGGAAAAUAAGGGUUGCUUAGUUAAAUGAGAAUGAUUAUUGUUAACUUGUUUUCCGGGAAAGACUUCAUUCGUUCCAACGUGAUGGACUUCUUGUGAAGGCACGACAUUGCUCACAUUGCUUCCAGUUAUAGGGCCAGUUCUUCUGGCCCUC
rnacentral:misc_RNA from 1 species